rnacentral:rRNA from 1 species
UACGUAGGGAGCAAGCGUUGUCCGGAAUCAUUGGGCGUAAAGCGCGCGUAGGCGGCCUCGUAAGUCCGUUGUGAAAGUCAAAGGCUCAACCUUUGAAAGCCGAUGGAUACUGUGAGGCUAGAGUCCGGAAGAGGCGAGUGGAAUUCCUGGUGUAGCGGUGGAAUGCGCAGAUAUCAGGAGGAACACCAAUAGCGAAGGCAGCUCGCUGGGACGUUACUGACGCUGAGGAGCGAAAGCCAGGGGAGCAAACGGG